rnacentral:rRNA from 1 species
GAUGAACGCUGGCGGCGUGCCUAAUACAUGCAAGUCGAGCGAACAGAUGAGGAGCUUGCUCCUCUGACGUUAGCGGCGGACGGGUGAGUAACACGUGGAUAACCUACCUAUAAGACUGGGAUAACUUCGGGAAACCGGAGCUAAUACCGGAUAAUAUAUUGAACCGCAUGGUUCAAUAGUGGAAGACGGUUUUGCUGUCACUUAUAGAUGGAUCCGCGCCGCAUUAGCUAGUUGGUAAGGUAACGGCUUACCAAGGCAACGAUGCGUAGCCGACCUGAGAGGGUGAUCGGCCACACUGGAACUGAGACACGGUCCAGACUCCUACGGGAGGCAGCAGUAGGGAAUCUUCCGCAAUGGGCGAAAGCUUGACGGAGCAACGCCGCGUGAGUGAUGAAGGUCUUCGGAUCGUAAAACUCUGUUAUUAGGGAAGAACAAAUGUGUAAGUAACUAUGCUCGUCUUGACGGUACCUAAUCAGAAAGCCACGGCUAACUACGUG